CCCAGGCGCAGGAGCUCGCGAGUCAGGAGGCCCGGGGUUCUAGGCCCAGCUUCGCUCCAGGACGCUGAGCCCCGUAACCUUGAACUACUCACGCGGGGAGGGGGGGGGAGUCUUUCAUGCAUUCACUGCAUGCAACGUUGAUGGGCAGCAUACUGCUGGACCCGGGGAGCCCAGGCCUGACCGUCCCUUCCUGCCCUAGUGCAGGAAGCCCCGUGGAUGGAGGUUGCAUAGGUGUCGCGAUGUUCAAUAAAGUAAUGGAAGAUUUGAAGGAGGUAAAGACCAAGAUGGAGCGAUAACUGAGGAUGAGAGAGGAGAAUGGAAGGCAUUCUUCAGAGAGGGGCAUCAAGGGCAGGGAAGGCCAGAAAUGAUAGACGCGCUGUGCAGGUGACAUGGGCCGAGGCAGAGUCCCCACAAGGCUGUCCCAGAGAACAAAGUAACAAGCGUGAGAGAUGCUCAAAGGGGGGACCCAGCAUAACUGCUUCUUCAUAAAUUACUGCAUAAACCUUCGUUAUGAUGGCUUCCCUCAAACGGACCCCUGGCAGGUCCAGCAUGGCAGGCUCUAUGGCUCUGUCUGUAACGGAACCCGUGGCGGCCCAGUCCUGGGCUGGAUCUGUGCUUCUGCUUGGCCUUAGCGGGAGAAUCCGCAGUUGUGCCAGACUCGGCUGUAUUUACACCAACCAAAGCCGUGGUUGUGUCCGACCUGGUCGUGCUCAGCCUGACUGGGCCUGGUGUCACCAAAACCUUUGCUGUGCUCCCUGCGGUCAGUUCAGCCGUGGUGAUGCCCGCAGUAACUGUGACUUCUCCCGGCUUGUGCGGGUCUGUGAAUGCCAAAUCCGUACCCUUGCCUGGCUUGAUCAGCUCUGCUCGAGUCAAAUUCAUGUCUGUGCUGGGUUCGAGUGUGCCCGGGACAGCCAAGUUCAUGGAUUUUGCUGACUUGGUUGAUGUAGGUAAGCCCAUGUCUGUACCCAGCUUGGCAUCCAGAUCAGGAAACGCUUUACCUGUGACCAGUCUGCAUGUGUUUGGUGCAGCUGUAUUAACAG